rnacentral:rRNA from 1 species
CCUACGGGCGGCAGCAGUGGGGAAUAUUGGGCAAUGGGCGCAAGCCUGACCCAGCAAUGCCGCGUGAAGGAAGAAGGCUCUCGGGUUGUAAACUUCUUUUAUCAGGGACGAAGGAUGUGACGGUACCUGAUGAAUAAGCUCCGGCUAACUACGUGCCAGCGGCCGCGGUAAUACGUAGGGAGCAAGCGUUAUCCGGAUUUACUGGGUGUAAAGGGGGCGUAGGCGGGAUGGCAAGUCAGAUGUGAAAUCCGGAGGCUCAACCCCUGAACUGCAUUUGAAACUGUCGUUCUUGAGUACUGGAGAGGUUGACGGAAUUCCUAGUGUAGCGGUGAAAUGCGUAGAUAUUAGGAGGAACACCAGUGGCGAAGGCGGUCAACUGGAAAGCAACUGACGCUGAGGCGCGAAAGCGUGGGGAGCAAACAGGAUUAGAUACCCCUGUAGUC